UUUUAUGGAGAGUUUGAUCCUGGCUCAGGACGAACGCUGGCGGCGUGCCUAAUACAUGCAAGUCGAGCGAACAGAUAAGGAGCUUGCUCCUUUGACGUUAGCGGCGGACGGGUGAGUAACACGUGGGCAACCUACCUUAUAGUUUGGGAUAACUCCGGGAAACCGGGGCUAAUACCGAAUAAUCUAUUUUACUUCAUGGUGAAAUACUGAAAGACGGUUUCGGCUGUCGCUAUAAGAUGGGCCCGCGGCGCAUUAGCUAGUUGGUGAGGUAACGGCUCA
rnacentral:rRNA from 1 species